CUCCCGGAGGGCAGGGCCGGAGGGGCGGGCUGCGGGCGCGGCGGGGAGCGGCCCGGGGGCCGUGCCCUCCGAAGGGGAAGGCGAGCGCCUCGCAGGCAGCCGCAGCGCUCUCGUGCACCCGUCAGGCCUUUACGGAGGGACCCUUUAGUGAACCGUUUCCUCGGCCGAGACGCCUGCCUUCCAGCGCGGGGCGGCAGGCGCGCACGAGUCCAUACGGCAGCCACAGGCUGUAUCUUCAGAGGUGCAUUUGAAUGGAGACUUGCAGUGCUGUAGUAUUUCCUCAGAACUAUUCAUUUCUGAAGAACAGAGGGGCUAGCAACAUUGAGGCACACGUGGUGAUACUGUAUCAUGGACAUCGAGCUGAGGUGGUCAAGGUGCCAUCAACAACUGUGGAAAGCAGCAGGUGAGAGACCUGCUGAUGUUUUACAUGAGAAGCACCUUUUAUUUGUGAAGACAGGGAAGACUGGAGUUUGAGCCAGAGAGGCCAAGGGACAGCAUAACUGAAGGGUCUGCCAGUGCUUUCCCUGGCACAACAGCAAUCGUCAGAGGAGAGCUGCUGCCCUCUGCAAGCCUCCUCCCAAGCCUCACCACUGCUGAAACCACAGUUCAAAUGCUCCCAAUGAAGAGGCUCUUUGGCAAGACUGUGGGGCAGAGAAAAUCAGGGCAAAAAACGGAGACAUAAUUAAAAAUUAGGAGCUGGACUUCAGAAAAGAAGAUUAAGGUAUUAGACUAAGGCAAAAGCCGCAGCGACUACAUGACAGCACUUAAUUUUCUUCCCUGGGGCAGACUGAAUUCCUGACUUCUGGCUAUUUGAUGAUGUUUUUGAGAUUGCUGUGUGGGUCGGUACAAAGCAUCUGCCUUCUUUCCCCUGUUCGGGCUGGUAUUAUCAUCUCACAGUAAUUACAUUUUCACAAAAUAACACAGAAUAAAUAUGUGCUUUUUUUGCAAGCAUCAAUAUUUCCAUGGGGUUAAAUUGGCAGUUCCCUUAU